UGUAAUGCCAGAGAAACUGAGGCAGGAGAGAGAUUAGAGAGUUUUUAAUAUUUUAUUAAUGGGAGAGUAAGAUUAACUGGACAGGACUCUCAUCUCAGAUUAUCCAGUCAGACAGAGAUAAGUGUACUGGGACCAAGGAAUCCAUAUUGGUCCCAGGGCUGGAGGACCCAAAGAAUCCAGCGUCCAGCAUACAGCUGCCAGACGCCAUUCUCCAGCAAUGAAUGGAGGAACAACAACUUCUUAAAUACAUUUUUGGAGACAAAGAAGAGACAGGGAGGGAAAGUUUUUUUAUCAGGGAGGGGAAGCCAUAAAACCUAAAAAUUCCAGAGACAAAGAAGUAAAGGUAUCAUGGGUUGAUCCUGGAACAUUCUAAAGGAAUAUUGUAAAUCCCUAAAAGAGUCAGGAGAGCUACUCUUUUAUCUUGCUAAUUUAUAACCCAAGAGCGAACAAUCCUUAGUUUUACUGGGUCAGAGACAGAACAGUUAAGGUAACUGAGACAGGGAAACUGAGUCAGGACAGUUAAAGAAAACUGUGGCAUAACAUGUGAAGUGGAUGUAAUGAAUAGAUUUAAAGGUUUAGAUCUGGUAGAUAGAGUGACUGAAGAACUAUGGCCAGAAGUUUGCAAU